rnacentral:lncRNA from 1 species
AAUUUACCAAAAAUUUACAUGAUUUAUUUUGAAUAGAUAGAAAAAUAGAUAGAAAAAUCAUCACAAUCAUUGCCUAUAAUUUAAAUCUAAAUUCCAUUUUUAAAUCAAGAAAAAACAUUAAUGAAGCAGUCACAUGACAAAAGUAUAACUCUGAGUUGACAGACAAAAAAAAACAAUCAGAAGCUGUGUUACAUCAAAAAUUAAAUUAUUAGCAAAUAUGUUGACUAAGAAAUGACAAUAACACGUUGACAUCAUAUGAUUAUGACAUGAUUUGUGAUCUGCUUACCUUUCUUGAGCACCUGAGAUCACCCAAAUGUCUUGGUGGGGUUAUUGUUGCAUAAACUUUAGUUUUCUAUGUUAUGUCUUUUGUACUAUUAUUUGUCAGUUUGUCACUUUUGUCUCAUGGCAUAUCUCAUUUCCAUGGAGACUAUUUGGCCCUGCCCCUCUCAGUCAUGGUCUAUUGACUUCAAAACUUUUGCUGAUUUACUUGUAUUAGUUUGUGAUUAGGUCAGUUUAUGGGGAACCACAAGUGGUUGGUCAAUGAUAUUUGGUAUGCAGUUGCAUAAGCAUUGGCAUAACUCAUUUCCAUGGAGAUAAAUUGGCCCUGCCUCCUCAGUCAUGGUCUAUUGACUUUGAAAAUUUGUGUAGGUUAUCAUGUAUUAAUUUGUGAUUAGGUCUGUUCAAGGGGAACCACUAGUGGUAGGCCAAUGUUAAUUGGUAUUCAGUUGUAUAAGCAUUGGCACAUCUAAUCUAGCCCCUCCUUCACAGUCUAAUGACUUUGAAACUUAUCUUAGCUUACAUGUUUUAGUUUGUGAUUUUAUCAGAUUAAGAUGAACUGCUUAUGUUAAAUCAAUGAUAUUUGGUAUGCAAAUUUAUUUACCUUUGCAAGUUUUGUUUCCAUGGAGAUUAUAUAGCCCCACCCCUCUUCAUGCUUUAUUGACUUUGAAACUUUAACAAAUUUUACAAGUUAUUUUUUGUAUUUAGGUUUGGGAACGACUUGUGAGAAGUCAAUGGUAUGCAUGAAGUUGUAUUAACAUUGGCACAUCUCAUUUACAUGGAGAUUUUAUUAGCCAUGUAACUCCAUCAUGGUUCAUUGACUUUGAAUAUUUGCAUAACUUGUGUAAGAUGUUAAAGUAUUGGUAUUUGAUUUCAACAUUUAAAAAACCAAAAUUACAAAAAGGGGAGACAUUUCUCUGUGAUAAUAGUUUAUCUUUUGUAGCCAUAGCGUUGUCAGUUUAUUUUUGAUCUAUGAGUUUUACUGUCCCUUUGGUAUAUUUCGUCCCUCCUUUUGUACCAGACUGAAUUGCUGAAUCUCUUUUUAUCUUCAAAACUCACAAGAUAAUACGUGUACUCCAUAUGAAGACAUGACAUCCUUUUCAUACAAUUUUCUUUUUCUGUUUCACUAGUGUUUGAUUUUCCUCUUGACUUCAGCAGAGAAGCAAUAGAUACUGAUUUUAAUAUAUUAUAUGAAGUUUUUAAAUUCACUUCAUCAUACUUAAAACCAUCAAUUAAGGAUAAUUUUUAUUAAACAUUCUCCUUAUCCCGAUACCCUGGGCUUAAAAACGUGAAAUCCUGAGGUCCUGAAUCUGGACAUCCUGAAAUUCCAAAAAAGAAAUCCUGGAUCCCGAAAGGAUCAAUCCCCAAAUUCCCAGCUUAUAAACACCCAAAACCUAAAAAAAGGUCCUGCCCCCUCUUUAUUGACUGAAUUUUCCAGUUUCAUCAAUUCCUCCUACAUGUUCCUUGUUAUUGUAUGUUAUUUCCUUCACAAGUAAGCCUGCCUUAGUUGGUUAGUUGGGUGAUAUCUUUGUUGAUCAAGCUUAACAUAUUAACUUAUUAAGUUUAUUUUACUGUGUUUCAAAUGUAUUUUUGAAGUUUUUGUAUAUUUCAAAAUUCCAUAACUUUUAUCAUUCCAUAUACUGUAGAUACAUUUGUAUUUGUGUUAUACCAGUAUUCAUUGAUUUUGUGAGUAUAGGUAGACCAAUAAUUGGUAUAUUCAAUGAAGUAAAGAUGAUGCAAUUUUCCCUGAAUUCAUAAUAAUUUGUUAUCCAACAUAAGACAAAUAAAGUUGUUUUCUGCAUGACAUCAAGUUUUAAUUCUACGACAUGUAUACACUUUGCCUUAAUUUUUCAAUUAUCAAUCAAUUAUAAAAUUAGCAAACUAAUGAUUAUACAAAUGUAGAAAACUACUCUAUAAUCAGGUACAACAACUAGCUAACAUUGGAAAAAUAUUUGAUUGUAUGAAUAUUUAUUAAACUGAAAUACAUGUAGGGUUUGUACUUAUAUUGACACUCAGUAUAUAUUGUAAAUCAAAAUUUGGUGAGAGAUUCAAUGUCAAUGAUAUGUAUAACAACUCUAGCAUUAGACAUGUUAGAUAAUACUACAAUUUUUUUUAAUUGCAUGACAAAUCAUACUUUCUAAAUUAUUAGAUUAUUGCCAGAUUAUAAUUGUAUAUAUAUAGGAUCACUGAAUAAUAUAUAUGUAUUGUGUAUUGCUCAUAUGAAUACCUUGUAAAAUGCAACUAACACAAGAUAUAAAUAUAAGAUAUAUUUGGUAAUCAAAUCCCCUGGUUUCAUUAGCAAUUAACAACACAGGGAGGAACCUUAGCGUCAUUGUUGUAGCGCUAAGGGACAUUGUUCACAACCAGUAGUGAAAUAAUGAAAUAUUUAAAGUUGAAAUAAAAAGAAAGAUUAUUGCCAGUGGAAACAUGCCUUCAUUCUAAGUUAAUUACUCAAUAGAUUGUAAAGCACUUUUUGCUUCAUUGCUUUAUAUAACAUAGUGAAAUAAGUGAGAAAUGUGAACUAAAUGAGAAAUGCGAACUAAGUGAGAAAUGUUAACUAAGUGAGAAAUGUGAACUAAGUGAGAAAUGUGAACUAAGGGAGAAAUGUGAACUAAGGUGAGAAAUGUUAACUAAGUGUGAAAUUUAAACAAAGUGAAAAAUGUUAACUAAGUGAAAAAUGUAAACUAAGGUGAGAAAUGUGAACUAAGGGAGAAAUGUGAACUAAGGGAGAAAGGUGAACUAAGGGAGAAAUGGGAACUAAGGUGAGAAAUGGGAACUAAGUGAGAAAUGUGAACUAAGGGAGAAAUUUGAACUAAGGGAGAAAUGUGAACUAAGGGAGAAAUGUGAACUAAGGUGAGAAAUGUGAACUAAGGGAGAAAUUUGAACUAAGUGAGAAAUGUGAACUAAGUGAAAAAUGUGAACUAAGUGAGAAAUGUGAACUAAGGGAGAAAUGUAAACUAAGUGAGAAAUGUGAACUAAGUGAAAAAUGUGAACUAAGUGAGAAAUGUGAACUAAAUUAAUGCUGUGUGUUGAACAGAAUGAAUGUCCAUUUGUUUAGCCUUUUAAGCCACAGAGCUCCCACAACAAACUUGACAGCAUAUUUAGAUGGUUAUAUUGUUGUUAAUUCCUCAGAUCAGUUUUAAUAAAAAUGCUGGUUUUUAGUUUGAUAAUGAUUGCCAAUGAAAUAACUCUCCAUAACAGACCAAAUGACACAGAAAUUAAGUAAAAAAAAACUAUGUUGUUGAUUGGCCAAUAAGAAAAGGACCAAAUAUAAUAUUAAAAUAAAGAAUAAAAAAUAAAAUGAGGAUAGAAAAUAAUCCAUUGUUGCGAUUUGAAUAUGAGGGAUUCCUCAGAUUUUAUUUAAGUUGUAGAAAUGAAUAAUCUCUAGGAUUGAUUGAUUGUUGGAGUUUUAAUGCCACUUUUAAGCACCACUUUUGGGCUAUUUCCAGGCGGUCAGUUUUUAUUGGUGGAGGAAGCUUGAGUGCCUGAAGAAACCUACAUACCUUCGAUAGGAAACAAAAAAGUCUCUAUAUUAAAAGUUUGAUUUUUGAAGUGAAGUUCAUGAUAUAUAUUUCUGUUACACCUUCAAGAAAGUUCAAGAUUAUUUUCGGAGAGUAUAAAUUUUUAUCUCAAUAUUUGAUGAUAAUAUAUCUUGUCAUUCUGGUGCUACUUUUGGGGUUAAUAUGAAGUUAUUUUUAAAGCUUUAAUUUUUUUAAUGUAACAAGAGGUCCAUAUCAAGGAUUGUGCUUCAAAAGUCUUAAAAUACUCUUAUUUGUACAUGCAAUAAUUUAUUGUUCAUGUUUUACUUAAUAAAAAUUGUUCUCUAUUUGUUAUUCUUGAAAUAUUUCUUCUUUUAAUAUGCUAUUAUAAGGUCAACCAAAGGUCAGAAAUUAAAAGUAUUUAUUAUUUCAAAUGUUUAAUAAUAUGCUCAGCUGGUUAUUCAAUAUUAUUUUUAGCUCGACUGGCCCAAAGGGCCAAGUGAGCUUUUGUUAUCACUUGGUGUGCGGCAUCCGGCGUCCGUAAACUUUUACAAAAAUCUUCUCCUCUGAAACUACUGGGCUAAAUUUAAUCAAAAUUGGCCACAAUCAUCCUUAGGGUAUUUAGUUAAAAAAAUGUGUCCGAUGACCUGGCCAUCUUGGUGCUAUGGCUAAAAUAAGAACAUAGGGGGUAAUAUGUUGCUUUUGGCUAAUAUCUCUGAAACCAAAGCAUUUAGAACAAAUCUAACAAAGGCUGAAAUUGUUUAUAAGGUCAAGAUCUAUCUGCCAGAAAUUUUCAGACAAAUAGGACAACCCGUUGUUAGGUUACUGCCCCCGAAUUAGUAAUUUUAAGAAAAUUUUUAAGUUUUUGGUUAUCUUGAAUAUUAUAAAAGAUAGAGAUAAACUGUAAACAGCAAUAAUGUUCAGCAAAGUAAGAUCUACAAAUAAGUCAACAUAACCAAAUUUUUCAGUUGACCCAUUAAGGAGUUAUUGCCCUUUGUAGUCUAUUUUUAACCAUUUUUCUAAAAUUUUAGUAAUCUUUUUAAAAAAUCUUCUCUGAAACUACUUAGACAAAUUUAACCAAACUUUGAAACAAUCAUCCUAAGGGUAUGUAGUUUCAAUAAUGUGUCCAAUGACCUUGUCCACGGACCAAGAUGGCCGACAUGGCUAAAAAUAGUACAUAGGGGUAAAAUGCAAUUUUUGGAUAUUAUCUCUGAAUACAAAGCAUUUAGAGCAAAUCUCAUUCAUUUGAAUAUGUUCAUUAAGUCAAGAUCUAACUGCCCUGAAAUUUUGAGACAAAUAAUGCAACCAGUUGUUGGGUUCCUGCCCCUGAAUUGGUAAUUUUGAGAAAAUUUUGCAGUUUUUGGUUAUCUUCAAUAUUAUCUUACUUAGAUAAAGAUAAACUGUAAACAAUAAUGUAUAGCAAAGUAAGAUCUACAAAUGAGUCAACUUGACCUAAAAGGUCAAUUGACCCCUUAAGGAGUUAUUGCUCUUUAUAGUAAAUUUUAAACAAUUUUCGUAUAAAAUUUAUGUAAACUUUUGUAAACUUUUACAAAAUAUUUUCCUUUGAAACUACUGAGCCAAGUUCAUUAUAGAUGGAGAAAAUUGUAAACAGCAAGAAUGUUCAGUAAAGUAGGAUUGACAAACACAUCAUCAUCUCCAAAACAUGAUUUUCUCAUGAAUUAUAUUCUCAUCUAUUAUGUAUGUCCUUUGUUUA